AUAUUUAAAUUUAGUAAUUUUAUUGCUAACUGUGAAGUUAAUCUGCACUCUAUGGGUUCUUUUCCCCAGGAAACUGAAAUCGCAGUUCAAGCUAAACAACCGGAUGUGGAAGGGAUUUUGUCUAAAGGGCAGCGUUUGUACAAGGAAAAACCAGCCACUCAGCCAGUGAAGAGGAAGUUAGAAGACCUGAGCUCUGAGUGGAAGGCGGUAAACCAUUUACUUCAAGAGCUGAGGGCAAAGCAACCUGACCUAGCUCCUGGACUGACCACUGUUGGAGCCUCUCCUAGUCAGACUGUUACUCUGGUGACACAACCUGUGGUUACUAAGGAAACUGCCAUCUCCAGACUAGAAAUGCCAUCUUCCUUGAUGUUGGAGGUACCUGCUCUGGCAGAUUUCAACCGGGCUUGGACAGAACUUACCGACUGGCUUUCUCUGCUUGGUCGAGUUAUAAAAUCACAGAGGGUGAUGGUGGGUGACCUUGAGGAUAUCAACGAGAUGAUCAUCAAGCAGAAGGUAUGAGAAAAAAAUGAUAAAAGUUGGCAGAAGUUUUUCUUUAAAAUGAAGAUUUUCCACCAAUCACUUUACUCUCCUAGACCAUUUCCCACCAGUUCUUAGGCAACUGUUUCUCUCUCAGCAAACACAUUACUCUGACUAUUCA
rnacentral:lncRNA from 1 species